CUUCAUAAUCUUUCCGCAGAAAAUUACAAGCUGGCUGCAGAAUACCAAUGAGUCAUUCCUUUCUGCUCUUUUGUGUAAAACCUAAGUCAGGUUAUAGAAGGGACCAAUUUCAUAAACCCAAGUUAGCAGCAGCUUUAGGAAGAUGGAAUGUCCAAGAUGGUUUAUCACAGAAAUGAGAAGCUACCAGAAAAAUAACAAUGAGAAG
rnacentral:lncRNA from 1 species